CCUACGGGAGUCUGCAGUAGGGAAUAUUGCACAAUGGGGGAAACCUUGAUGCAGCAACGCCGCGUGGGUGAAGAAGUUCUCCGGUGUGUAAAGCCCUUUUGUCAGAGAAGAUAAUGACGGUACCUGACCACGAAGCCCCGACUAACUACGUGCCAGCAGCCGCGGUAAUACGUAGGGUGCAAGCGUUCCCCGGAUGUACUGGGCGUAAAGGGAGCGUAGACGGUAAAGCAAGUCUGGAGUGAAAGCGUGUGGCGCAACCAUGGGACUGCAUUGGAAACUGUGUUUCUGGAGUGCAGGAGGGGUAAGCGGAAUUCUGAGUGUAGGGGUGAAAUGCGUAGAGAUUAGGAGGAACACUGGUGGCGAAGGCGGCCUACUGGAAUGUAACUGACGCUGAGGCGCGAAGGCGUGGGGAGCAAACAGGAUUAGAUACCCGGGUAGUC
rnacentral:rRNA from 1 species